GAACUUUUUUUAUGUGGUUUCAAUGGUAGUUGGUUGAAAUGCAAUGGGUUGCACUAUACAAGAUGAUUCUGAAGUUAACUGGACAAUGACUCAACACACCUCCAGGCUGUGUAAGGGCUAUUUGACCAAGAAGGUGAGUGAUGGAGUGCUACAUCAGAUGACCUGGCCUCCACAAUCACCCGACCUCAACCCAAUUGAGAUCGUUUGUGAUGAGUUGGACCGCAGAGUGAAGGAAAAGCAGCCAACAAGUGCUCAGCCUAUGUAGGAACUCCUUCAGGACUGUUGGAAAAGCUUUCCAGGCGAAUCUGGAUGAGAAAAUGCCAAGCGUGUGCAAAGCUGUCAUCAAGGCAAAGGGUGGAUACUUUGGAGAAUCUAAAAUAUUAAAAGUAUUUUGAUUUGUUUAACACUUUUUAAAUGUUUUAUUUAACUAGGCAAAUCAGUUAAGAACAAAUUAUUAUUUUCAAUAACAAUUUUCAAUGACAGCCUAGGAGCAAUGGGUUAACUGCCUUGUUCAGGGGCAGAAUGACUCGAACCACCUUCAGGGGAUUCGAUCAUGCCAUCUUUCAGCUAUUAUUCCAAUGCUCUAACCACUACCUGCCGUUACUACCAGGGUGUAAGAUAUUAUUAAAAAUCCGAUAACUGUAAUCCGUUAUGUUACAAGCAAAAAUAUUGUAAUCAGAUUCCAGAUACUUUAUAAAAACUAGAUGAUUGCUUUGAGGAUUACUUUUAAAUUCUUGGACACUUGUUUACUCAAUGACAUUCAAAUCAGCAUUGAAAAAAGGUGCACGUUUAAGUGUGUUCCACCUGAGCGAGUCUGACCCCAAGUCAGAGACCACUACGAUGGCACACCAAAUGUGUUUGAUGGUUCGAGGGAAAAGAGCAGGAAUAGGUUUUUGUGGGCUACAGUCCAAGCUGUCUUCCAAUGGUGCAACUGCUGUUGGCAUCCAAAGAUUAUUCUAUUUGAAUAAACGCUUGGAUGUAAGGAUGACAGCAGUGGUGUAGUCUACAUAUUAUUGAUAUCUACAUAGAGCAUUGAUGUGAAUCACAUUGCUGCUCUCUCAUUUUGCUAUUUGUGCCUUACGGAUUGUGGUUGUUGUGGAUGUUAUGGAUGGUCAGUCCUUGCAUCUAUAGCUCUGUCUAUAAAUCUGAGAGUGGUUACAUGUCUCCAGGCCCAUCCCUCAGCUUUUUAACAAAACAGAGGCGGGGCGGCCGUUUUGUUAUAGUUUCAUCUGUGGAUUUGCCCUUUUAACAGCUGCAUAUGAUCAAGAUAUCAGCAUUUAUUUUUCAAUGCGAAUCAAUGAGCCCAAUCAGUCCUUCAUGACAACAAAUCAUAAACCACAGAGUAGAGUUGGCUAAUAAGUCCUUAGUUUUAGGGUCCUCCUCAGGUAAAACAAUUUGGCUAAUCUAUACUUCCAUAUUUAUAAGUUCUAUUCUUGAAGAUCAAGGGGAUUAACAUUUAUUGGAAUGACUGGAAUUUUGACAGACUUUUGGGGUUUUUAAUGUACUUUUUAAUAUAAUUUAAUCAUAUUAUUAUACAGUGCCUUGCGAAACUAUUCGGCCCCCUUGAACUUUGCGACCUUUUGCCACAUUUCAGGCUUCAAACAUAAAGAUAUAAAACUGUAUUUUUUUGUGAAGAAUCAACAACAAGUGGGACACAAUCAUGAAGUGGAACGACAUUUAUUGGAUAUUUCAAACUUUUUUAACAAAUCAAAAACUGAAAAAUUGGGCGUGCAAAAUUAUUCAGCCCCCUUAAGUUAAUACUUUGUAGCGCCACCUUUUGCUGCGAUUACAGCUGUAAGUCGCUUGGGGUAUGUCUCUAUCAGUUUUGCACAUCGAGAGACUGACAUUUUUUCCCAUUCCGCCUUGCAAAACAGCUCGAGCUCAGUGAUGUUGGAUGGAGAGCAUUUGUGAACAGCAGUUUUCAGUUCUUUCCACAGAUUCUCGAUUGGAUUCAGGUCAACGUUUUUUAAUAUUGAUGUCACAAAUGUAUAAUUUGUACAUUUCUUUAUCAACAUUUUAGUUUGUUUUUUUACAUUUGACUGUGUAAAAUCUAGCAGUACUACUUAUUUCUCUGAGCGUGAGGUGAAAUUAUAGCAUUUUGCAACAAAUAGCAUUUGUCUUUGAAAUGACAUCAUUCAGUAAUAGGCUAGAUUUUAAACAGAUACAUGUCUGUCAUUGAACAAUCCCAUGCCAUGAUUAGAUAAAUAAUAAUAUAAUAAUAAUAUAAUAAUAAUAGAUAAAUAAUAAACACAAUAAUCUCUUUCAUAAUUCAUUUAAGAAUAUGUAUAUAGCGUUUUGGAAUUAAACUCUUCAAUUGCUAACUCUGCAAAACAUUGUUGAUAUACCAUUGCCCAUACAAUCAAGCCAUUUAAGUGUCCAUGGUGACAGUUAUUUAAGUAGUAGCCUCUCCUGACCUUUACAGUAAUGUCUACUGUAAGGAUGCAGAAUAGUGAACCAGUCUGAUGUAUUUGUUCCUGGCUGUAAAUACUGUUCCAUUCUCACUGGGGUAAUCUACUGUUGCCUGGCAGGCUGUGUUUCCACUGUGUGUCUUGGCCCCUUCUCUAUGUCAGUGGGGGCUGCUGAGGGGAGGACGGCUCACAAUAAUGGCUGGAAUGGAGUAAAUGGAAUGGUAUCACAAAGACAUGUUUUCCAUGUGGUGUAUAUCCCUCCACUGACUCCAUUCCAGCCACGAUUUCAGCUCGACCUGUUGCUCCUCAGUCAAGAGACUUUUCUUUAAACAGCAAAUGGUGCUUAUCUUAAACCCCCCCAAAAAAAGGUUACUCUCUCUGCUCCUCUCAGAAUAUAGUACUGGUCAGUUGAUAGGUCAAAACCAUAUGGUUGUCAUGACAUAUUGCGUUUGUUCCUUAAUAUGAAGUUAUUAGCAAGUGAAGUGAAAACGUUGCCUAAAAACGUACAGUGACUUCAGAAAGUAUUCACACCCCUUGCAUUUUUCCUAAUUUUGUUGGGUUACAGCCUGAAUUUAAAUGAUUUUUUAUUUAUUUAGAUUAAAUGUAGAUUUCUUUUCACUGGCCUGCACACAAUACCCCAUAAUGUCAAAGUGAAACUAUGUUUUUCAAAAUAUUUAAACAUUUAUUAAAAAUAAAAGGCAAAAAUGUAUUGUGUCAAUAAGUAUUCAACCCCUUUAUUAUAAGAAGCCUAAAUAAGUUCAGGAGUAAAAAUGUGCUGAACAAGUCACAUAAUACGCUGUAUGGACUCACUCUGUGUGUCAUAAUAGUGUUUAACACAAUGUUUAAAUGACUACUUCAUCUAUGUACCACACACAUACAAUUAUCUGUAAGGUCCCUCAUUUGAGCAGUGAAUUUCAAACAGAUUCAACCACAAAGUCCAGGGAGGUUUUAUAAUGUCUCGCAAAGAAGGGCACCUAUUGGUAGAUGGUUAAAAAUACAUCAGACAUUGAAUAUCCCUUUGAGAGGGGUGAAGUUAUUAAUGACACUUUGGAUGGUGUAUCAAUACACCCAGUCGCUACAAAGAUACAGGCGUCCUUCCUAACUCAGUUGCCAGAGAGGAAGGAAACCGAGGCCAAUGGUGACUUUAAAACAGUUACAGAGUUUAAUGGCUGUUAUGAGAGAAAAAUGAGGAUGGAUCAACAACAAUGUAGUUACUCCACAAUACUAACCUAAUUGACAGAGUGAAAAGUAGGAAGCCUGUACAGAAUAACAAUAUUCCAACACAUCCAUCCUGUUUGCAACAAGGCACUAAAGUAAUACAGACAAAAAAAUAUGCUAAAGCAAUUCACUUUUUGUCCUGAAUACAAAGUUGUAUGUUCGGGGCAAAUAGCCUAAAACACAAUGCAAAAUCUACACUGGAGUUGCUUACCAAGAAGACAGUGAAUGUUCCUGUGCGGCCGAGUUAUAGUUUUCACUUAAAUCUACUUAAAAAAUGAUGUCAAGACCUGAAAAUGGUUGUCUAGCAAUGUUCAACAAGCAAUUUGACAGAGGUUGAAGACAUUUGAAAAGAAUAAUGGGCAAAUGUUGCACAAUCCAGGUGUGGAAAGCUCUUAGAGACUUACCCAGAAAGACUCACAGCUGUAAUCACUGCCAAAUGUGUUUCUACAAAGUAUUGACUCAGGGGUAAGAAUACUUAUGUAAAUGAGACAUUUCUGUAUUUAAUUUCCAGUACAUUUUCAAAAAAUGUCUAAAUCUUGUUUUCACUUUGUCAUUGAGGUACUGUGUGUAGAUGGGUGAGAAAGAAAAUCAAUUUAAUCAGUUGUAUUUGUCACAUUCGCCAAAUACAACAGGUGUAGACUUUACCGUGAAAUUAUUACUUACCAGCCUUUUCCCAACAAUGCAGAGUUAAAAUGGCGGAGAUAUUUGCAAAAGAUAAACAAGGAAAUAGUAACACAAUAAAUGAACAAUAACGAGUCUAUACAAGGAGUACCGGUCCCGAUUCAAUGGUCAGGGUACGAGGUAGAUGAGGUAAUAUGUACUUGAAGGAAGGGUAAAAAUGACUAGGCAAUCAGGAUAGAUAACAGUUUUUUUACAAUCACUUUGGCACUAACCCUCUAGACACAAAAGUCACAACCAACGAGCAAAAUGCUCAUUUUCAAAACUCUAACACUUUUUCCAAUUGCUUGGAUACAAUACACAUAAAGCUAAGAUCAUUUGUUCAUUGAACUAAAAUCAACUGUUCAAAAUGACACAACAACAUCAAAGUAUUGUAUUACAAAAAUAUAAACGUAACGUGUUUCAUGAGCUGAAAUAAAUGAUCCCAGAAAUGUUCCAUAGGGAUGGUGGCAGGUUAACACCAGACGUAACGCCAGACGUACUGUGGAACAUGAACCAAUUGGACUACAUUAUCUAUGGAUGUAAUAUUUCAUCAUCAUUCUUUAUCAGACACUGUUUCUAUGGUCCCAUGUACCACUUUUCCAGACCAUGUUUUCAGAUUUGACAUUACUGUACACUCACCGGCCACUUUAUUAAGUAAACCUAUCUAGUACUGGGUAGGACCCCCUUUUGCCUCCACAACAGACUGAAUUAUUCCUGGUGUUGUACGUUAAGAGAUGCCCUUCUGCACACCACUGUUUUACUCUCUACUCUAUAUACUCUCUUCUCUAUAUACUCUAUAUAUUGAGUUGCAGGCAGCCACAUGAUUCGCUGUUCGAAUGUAACAGUCCUUGAUGAGCUAAAUCAGGUCUGUAGAGCUGAUGGCAUGACCUAUGUCAUUGUGUGGGAUAAUGUCAGGUUCCACCAUGCUCAAAUGGUGCAAGCAUGGUUUCAGGCCCAUCCACAAUUGACCACCCUGUGCUUAUCCCCAUACUCUCCUUUCCUUAACCCGAUUGAGGAAUUCUUCUCCACAUGGAGGUGGGAGGUAUAUGAUAGGCUCCCUCACGAACAAGCCACCCUUCUCCAGGCCAUGGAUGACGCAUGCAAUGACAUCACGGCAGACCAGUGUCAGGCCUGGAUUCGCCCGAAGAUUCUUCCCAAGAUGUUUGGCUAUUGAAAACAUCCAUUGUGAUGUGGAUGAGAACCUUUGGCCAAAUCCACAAGACAGGGUUGAUGGAAAUAUAGAAGUGCAGUGCAGUGAUGUUUUACAGUAAGCCAGGUGAGGAACACUGCAGUGAUGUUUUACAGUAAGCCAGGUGAGGAACACUGCAGUGAUGUUUUACAGUAAGCCAGGUGAGGAACACUGCAGUUGAUGUUUUACAGUAAGCCAGGUGAGGAACAUGGCAGUGAUGUUUUACAGUAAGCCAGGUGAGGAACACUGCAGUGAUGUUUUAUAGUAAGCCAGGUGAGGAACACUGCAGUGAUGUUUUACAGUAAGCCAGGUGAGGAACAUGGCAGUGAUGUUUUACAGUAAGCCAGGUGAGGAACACUGCAGUGAUGUUUUACAGUAAGCCAGGUGAGGAACACUGCAGUGAUGUUUUACAGUAAGCCAGGUGAGGAACAUGGCAGUGAUGUUUUACAGUAAGCCAGGUGAGGAACACUGCAGUGAUGUUUUAUAGUAAGCCAGGUGAGGAACACUGCAGUGAUGUUUUACAGUAAGCCAGGUGAGGAACACUGCAGUUGACCUUUAACUGUUUUUUAUUUUUUUGUUGUUAAUUAUUUUUGCUUUGAUUCAAAGAAACAUAUGUUGUGAUUUUAUUUUAUUUCAUCAAUAAAUUUCAUAUUUUGUUCAAUUAUUCCACUGUGUCUGUAGUAUUCUCUCUACUAGUCCUUUUACAGUGUAUUAUUUACAUGUAGUAGCAUAAGGAAACAUGUAUCACAUAUUUUGUACUACAAUAUUUAAUGAUUGUACGAACAACUACACAGUGAAACUAUCUGUAUCUUGUGUGUGGGUGAUCUAAAUGAAUGGUCCUAUGGUAUUUCAUGAUAAAUUAGUUAUUUGAACCAAUGAUUCUGCAAGUGCAAGGUUUCUUUAAAGAUAUGAAUGCACAAU